AUUGCCUUGAUUGCAUCUAUGUUUUUCUGUUUGAUGUCUGCAGGUGAGUGAAGAGAAGUGAAUUUUGCAAGAGAAGUCACAAAAGCAUCCCUAUGUGUUUUCAUGGACAUUGCAGCAGUGACAUGGAUUGCACAACGGAAUCCUUCCAAACACAGAGCUAUCACAACACCGUCGUCAGCUUGGUCAAGGGGAACACUAAAGGCAGCCAACAUCGGAGCCCAGCAAACCUCAACCAUGAAUCUGAGGAUCACCACAUCUGUUGCAGCAUAAUAAACUGACUCAGAUUUG
rnacentral:misc_RNA from 1 species